AUGCUUCUGGUGAAAUGUUUGUCGUAUCAAGGGUCGUGUCUCAGUUCAUUUCUAUAAACAGGUCUGUUCUCCGGACAUAUGCACAUGAUGAUGUUAGUGUUGGAUCGUGGAUGAUUGGGCUUGCUGUAAAGCAUGUAAAUGAAGCAAAGCUAUGUUGUUCAUCAUGGCCCUCAGGAGCCAUGUGUUCAGCUCUUUGAUGGGUAGUGCUUCCCUGAAGAAGGGUUUUGUGAAGAGUGUGUUACACUGAAUAGAUUUUCGUUUUCUCUUGCCAUUUCUUUUUUUCUAUGCCAUCAUUGAGCAAGCAGUGCCGGUUCAUAGUGAAUGUGGUAUCUUCAAUGCGAAGGAGAAGUAUUGUACCUUUUCCUCGUAUGCCGACACUACCUGCCGUAGUUUUUUUGUCAUUCCCUAGAUCUCCAUCAGUACCAUUCUUUGCUGACAAACAUCACUGUUUGAGUGACAGAAAUUA